GGUUAAGCGACUAAGCGUACACGGUGGAUGCCCUGGCAGUCAGAGGCGAUGAAGGACGUGCUAAUCUGCGAUAAGCGUCGGUGAGGUGAUAUGAACCGUUAUAACCGGCGAUUUCCGAAUGGGGAAACCCAGUGUGUUUCGACACACUAUCAUUAACUGAAUCCAUAGGUUAAUGAGGCGAACCGGGGGAACUGAAACAUCUAAGUACCCCGAGGAAAAGAAAUCAACCGAGAUUCCCCCAGUAGCGGCGAGCGAACGGGGAGGAGCCCAGAGCCUGAAUCAGUGUGUGUGUUAGUGGAAGCGUCUGGAAAGGCGCGCGAUACAGGGUGACAGCCCCGUACACAAAAAUGCACAUAUUGUGAGCUCGAUGAGUAGGGCGGGACACGUGGUAUCCUGUCUGAAUAUGGGGGGACCAUCCUCCAAGGCUAAAUACUCCUGACUGACCGAUAGUGAACCAGUACCGUGAGGGAAAGGCGAAAAGAACCCCGGCGAGGGGAGUGAAAAAGAACCUGAAACCGUGUACGUACAAGCAGUGGGAGCCUCUUAAUGGGGUGACUGCGUACCUUUUGUAUAAUGGGUCAGCGACUUAUAUUCUGUAGCAAGGUUAACCGAAUAGGGGAGCCGAAGGGAAACCGAGUCUUAACUGGGCGUUAAGUUGCAGGGUAUAGA
rnacentral:rRNA from 1 species